CCGCUUCCUUGAAUCGCGACGAUGACCAUUAAGCUUCGAAACCGGAAAGAAUGAAGAUAUAGGGCACACGGAGGAGCUCGUUGAAAAUUCCAUUUGUCCUGGUCGAUUGUUUAAAUUGUCCGCCACGUUUCGCGGAUUUCUGUCGGUGAAUUUUGACUCGGUGGCCUCUCGUUGUACUUGUCAGGACAAUGGUCCAUUAGUCACGUGGAUACGCGGAAAUAUCAGGCGUCGACGUGGAUUGAGUGCCGCUCGAACGUUCGUACUCGACCAACGUGCUCCAGCGAUUGAUUUAGAGCUGAUGUUAACGCGUGCCGAGUACCAGCAGCUUUUUUUAAUCGACCACAAACCGAAAACUCCGUUAAUAACGAUCAAACAUUCUCUGACUGUCGGAGAUGAUCAUCAGUGUUACCACGAUCCGUGAUUACACACCUUUCAAAAUGAUUAAAACGAGAUAAGUUUCGUGGAUUAAAACGAUUAUCAACCGUACGAAUAGUUUAGAUAACAUCGUCAGAAAAACGUGCACGAAUCGAUGUAAUGUUUCGCGAAACAUACAGAGAAUUUAUAUAUUUGGCAGUAUUUUUCAAAAUAUAUAAAAUACGUGGAAGUAUCAAGAUAUUGGAUCGCUCUGCGAGUUCUAUCUCCGUAGAAACAGAUAGUCGUGUGGUGAAAUACGAUGGCAGAUGCGUGCAAUGAUUUGUAACGAAUUCAGGUUUGUGCAGGUUUGUAUCGUCGACGUUAAAGAACAAUCCCGAAACGAGCUUCGUAUCGGCGCUUUCUUUGCUUCUGCUUCAUUUUCACCUUAACCGUACGCGUAUCUUCGCCAGUUUCUCGAACAUUCUAAAAAUACCGAUCGUCAUAACACUGUGCGUACCAUCGAUUCGUUACGAAACUCGGUAGAGAUUUAUCAGCUAUUUCCAAAUAAUCUUUGUGUCUUUCGAUCUAACAGUUGGAAAUUAUGUAAGUACGUUGCUGGUCGUCGAACGAUAGGAUUUACGAAGCGCAAACAUUAGAAAAUCAAGGAAAAUCGAUUUUCCCUCUCGCGUGGCUCUUCAUUGG
rnacentral:misc_RNA from 1 species